AACUUUCAACAACGGAUCUCUUGGUUCUGGCAUCGAUGAAGAACGCAGCAAAAUGCGAUAAGUAAUGUGAAUUGCAGAAUUCAGUGAAUCAUCGAAUCUUUGAACGCACAUUGCGCCCGCCAGCAUUCUGGCGGGCAUGCCUGUUCGAGCGUCA
rnacentral:rRNA from 1 species